rnacentral:lncRNA from 1 species
AUUGAACCGUUAGAUGAUAAAAAAAAAAAACCCUCAAAGCUAUGUCCAUAACUCCUUUGCUUUUUCCUCUCCUAGGCUUAGCAGCCGAGGUGGACCAGCUGGUGUUUUCACAAUCUGCAGAGACAUACAGGGAAGGACGAUGGGGGGACGACAUGGUGGAAAAUAUUCAAUGUCAUACCACGGAUGUACAGAAGAAGAAAGAAAUCCUAUUUGGAACUGAAGUCAGCCAGUUGGAAUUUUCAGAAGGAAAUCCUGGCAGCCCGCGGUGUUUGAGGCAUUACAUAAACAUCUGAUACUUGACUCAGUAACUAUCAGCACUUGGUGUCAGCAUAUAAAUGUUGGGUUGGAAAAGUAGACAAAUUGAUUUUCCAUUCCUCUCAUUCUAGUUUCUUCCUUUCAUUGAUGCUGUAGUCAUGGAUCUUAUUACUAGCAUAAC